rnacentral:rRNA from 1 species
AGCUGGCUUCAAACGAAGCAUGUGCACGCCUGGCUCAUUCCACUCUUCAACCUCUGUGCACUUAUUGUAGAUCGGGGUAAAAGUUAGUUUGUAACGGAACUAGCUGUAAAGCCUUUCUACGUUUUACUAUAAACGCUUCAGUUAUAGAAUGGAUCAUUGCGUAUAACGCAUCUUUAUACAACUUUCAGCAACGGAUCUCUUGGCUCUCGCAUCGAUGAAGAACGCAGCGAAAUGCGAUAAGUAAUGUGAAUUGCAGAAUUCAGUGAAUCAUCGAAUCUUUGAACGCACCUUGCGCUCUCUGGUAUUCCGGAGAGCAUGCCUGUUUGAGUGUCAUGGAAUUCUCAACCCUCAAUACUUUUUUGUAUUGAAGGCUUGGACUUGGAGGCUUGUGCUGGCUGCUCGUUCAGUCAGCUCCUCUGAAAUGCAUUAGCGUGAAUUACUACGGAUCGCUUCAGUGUGAUAAUUAUCUGCGCUGUGGCCGUGAAGUAUUAAUAAGUUUGCGCUUCUAAUCGUCCUUUACUUGGACAAUUAACAACCCUGACUUCUGACCUCAAAUCAGGUAGGACUACCCGCUGAACUUAAGCAUAUCAAUAAGCGGAGGA